UGCAGUCGAACGGUAACAGGUCUUCGGAUGCUGACGAGUGGCGAACGGGUGAGUAAUACAUCGGAACGUGCCCGAUCGUGGGGGAUAACGCAGCGAAAGCUGUGCUAAUACCGCAUACGAUCUACGGAUGAAAGCGGGGGAUCGCAAGAGCUCGCGCGGACGGAGCGGCCGAUGGCAGAUUAUGUAGUUGGUGGGAUAAAAGCUUACCAAGCCGACAAUCUGUGGCUGGGCUGAGAGGACGACCAGCCACACUGGGACUGAGACACGGCCCACACUCCUACGGGAGGCAGCAGUGGGGAAUUUUGGACAAUGGGCGCAAGCCUGAUCCACCCAUGCCGCGUGCAGGAUGAAGGCCUUCGGGUUGUAAACUGCUUUUGUACGGAACGAAAAAGCUCUCUCUAAUACAGGGGGUGAAUGACGGUACCGUAAGAAUAAGCACCGGCUAACUACGUGCCAG
rnacentral:rRNA from 1 species